rnacentral:lncRNA from 10 species
CUCUGAGUCACUACGUUAGGAUGUCCCUGAAGGAAUACAAAAUGCAUGUGAUGACAACUGUGAAACUUCACUGAAAAAAAAAAAUGGCUUCACAUAAGAAAUCUGAAGUGUGCCUAGUUUCGAAGCCACAAGGAAGCCACAGAGGAGCACACAGGCUGUACCAGCAUGGCUCCAUCAUCUGCUUCUGGCACAGGCUUCAGGAAGCUUAUAAUCAUGGCAGAAGGCAAAGAAGAACAGGUGUGUCACAUGGCAAGAGUGGGUUCCAGACAUGGGAGGAAAUACCACAUGAUUUUAAACAACCAGAUUUCAUGUGAACUCAGAGCAAGAACUCACUCAUCACCAAGGGGAUGGCACUAAGCCCUUCAUGAGGGAUCCACCCCCAUGAUCCAAUCACCUCUCACCAGGCCACACCUCCAACACCGGGAAUCAAAUUUCAACAUGAGAUUUGGAGGAAAUAACAUCCAAAACAUAUCAACUUGUGUCCUUAUAAGAAGAAGAGGCAACAAAGGACAUGAACUCAUCAUUUUUUAUGGCUGCAUAGUAUU